GGGAAGGUGGCUCAGUGGUAGAGUGCUUGCUUUGCAUGCAUGAGGCCUGGGUUCGAGUCCUUACCACCACA
rnacentral:tRNA from 1 species